rnacentral:rRNA from 1 species
GCAUAUCAAUAAGCGGAGGAAAAGAAACCAACAGGGAUUGCCUCAGUAACGGCGAGUGAAGCGGCAACAGCUCAAAUUUGAAAUCUGGCCCCAGGCCCGAGUUGUAAUUUGCAGAGGAUGCUUUUGGUGCGGUGCCUUCCAAGUUCCCUAGAACGGGACGCCAGAGAGGGUGAGAGCCCCGUACAGUUGGACACCAAGCCUUUGUAAAGCUCCUUCGACGAGUCGAGUAGUUUGGGAAUGCUGCUCAAAAUGGGAGGUAUAUUUCUUCUAAAGCUAAAUACCGGCCAGAGACCGAUAGCGCACAAGUAGAGUGAUCGAAAGAUGAAAAGCACUUUGAAAAGAGGGUUAAACAGCACGUGAAAUUGUUAAAAGGGAAGCGCUUGUGACCAGACUUGCGUCCGGUGAAUCACCCAGCUCUCGCGGCUGGGGCACUUCGCCGGCUCAGGCCAGCAUCAGCUCGCUGUCGGGGACAAAAGCUUCAGGAACGUAGCUCUCUUCGGGGAGUGUUAUAGCCUGUUGCACAAUACCCUUCGGCGGGCUGAGGUACGCGCUCCGCAAGGAUGCUGGCAUAAUGGUCAUCAGCGACCCGUCUUGAAACACGGACCAAGGAGUCAACCUUAUGUGCGAGUGUUCGGGUGUCAAACCCCUACGCGUAAUGAAAGUGAACGCAGGUGAGAGCUUCGGCGCAUCAUCGACCGAUCCUGAUGUUCUCGGAUGGAUUUGAGUAAGAGCAUAUAGGGUUGGACCCGAAAGAAGGUGAACUAUGCGUGUAUAGGGUGAAGCCAGAGGAAACUCUGGUGGAGGCUCGCAGCGGUUCUGACGUGCAAAUCGAUCGUCAAAUAUGCGCAUGGGGGCGAAAGACUAAUCGAACCUUCUAGUAGCUGGUUUCCGCCGAAGUU